UAAUACAGAGGUCUCGAGCGUUAGGCGGAAUCACUGGGCUUAAAGCGUGUGUAGGCGGAUCGUUAAGUGCCUUGUGAAAUCCCACGGCUUAACCGUGGAACUGCUUGGCAUACUGGCGGUCUUGAGCAACCUAGGGGCGAGCGGAACAAAUGGUGGAGCGGUGAAAUGCGUAGAUAUCAUUUGGAACGCCAAUGGUGAAAACAGCUCGCUGGGGGUUUGCUGACGCUGAGACACGAAAGCCAGGGGAGCGAACGGGAUUAGAUACCCCGGUAGUCCUGGCCCUAAACGAUGUCCACUAGAUCCUAGAACCUCUGACGGUUUUAGGGUCGAAGCAAAAGUGCUAAGUGGACCGCCUGGGAAGUACGGUCGCAAGGCUA
rnacentral:rRNA from 1 species